rnacentral:rRNA from 1 species
UACGAAGGGUGCAAACGUUGCUCGGAAUUAUUGGGCGUAAAGCGCACGUAGGCGGCAUUGCAAGUCCCAUGUGAAAUCCCACGGCUUAACCGUGGAAGUGCAUGGGAAACUGCAGUGCUUGAGUACUUAAGAGGAUCGCGGAAUUCCCGGUGUAGAGGUGAAAUGCGUAGAUAUCGGGAGGAACACCAGUGGCGAAGGCGACUACCUGGCCUGUUCUUGACGCUGAGGCGCGAAAGCUAGGGGAGCAAACGGG